AUGGACCGUUCACGCACACGGGAAUUCACAGCCCGUGCACACCCACGCUUCACGCCAUUGGGCCCGCGUCAUCAACUCCAGCUCAUGGCCCUCACUCACGCCUCACCAUUCAAUUGCAAAUGGCCCGCACAACAAGGGCCCGCCAAAGCAAACUUGUGCCCGUGGACAAAGCACCUCAUCAACACGUGCACAUGGGCCCGCCAUUGCAAACUCCCGCACAUCCGCGCAAUCCCGCACAAUGGGCAGCCCGUGGACCGAGCUCUUCACAUGGAUCCGCCUCAACAUGGCCAGCACUUCAUCAAUUCAUCCGCAUUUGGGCCCGCGUUCCAGCAGCUCUCUGCACGUGGCCCAUUGCCGCCACCCACGCACCGUCCACCACGCACAUGGGAUCCGUACGAAGCCACUGCACCACAAUCAAUUCACGCGGGCCAAAGCUCUCUGCGCGUGGACCAUUCCUUCACAUGGACCACCAGCGCCACCUCGCCAUUCCUUCACGUGGACACUCGCGCACUCGAUCCACUCCCAGGCCAGCAAUCUUCCAAAAUAGUGCGCCCCUCUACACUUAUAAAUAGAGCCUUCAGUGGCCAAAUUAAAUACACAAUUCAGCCAAUGAGUGGCGCAAGGCUUCUCCUUCGGUUUCUUUUCUUUCUUUUUCCUUUUUUUUAUUUUUAUUUUUUAUUUUAUUUUUCUGUUUUUAAUUCAGCCAAUGAGUGGCUGAAUUCUUUCAUCUAAUUGAAUAUUGGUUGAAGUUUUAGUUGUUUAAUGGGUUGUGAGACUUGAUCAAAUAUUAUUUAAUUUUGGGAAUUCAAUAUUCAUGCAAUUUUAUAUUUAAUUCUCAUAUUAUUUUGUUAUUGAAAUUUACGUUGAUUUUUUAUUAUAAAAUAAUUAUUUAUUAGUUUGAAUAAUUUAAGUCCGUAAUUGCUUGGGUUAUUCUUACAUGAGAACACUUGGGAUAAAACCCAGGGAAAUUGUUUGAUCUAGCGUUAUCUCCAUACGUUUGGGUAGUUAGGAUUAGAUCUCUCUAUUUCUUAAUGCAAUUGACAAUUGUUUUGAUGCCUAAGGUCCAAGGACGUUCCUUGACAAUUUGUUAAUUAGUAAUUAAUUAGAGGACGUUCCCUAAUUGGUUUAAUCAUAAGGAGAGAUAAUGGUGGUGAGAAGCGUCUUCCAUCCCCAUAACUAAUCUAUUGAAUCAACCCAAAAGAACAAAGUGUCUGUGAUCAAUCCCAAUGACUAAAGUGGAUCCAAUACUUCAACUAGAGUUUUCUUAUUAUUUAUUUCUCUUUUAUUUUAUUAUUCGCUUAUUUUAAUUACUUUUAGUAGUUUAUUAAUCAAAUCAAUCUCAAAACCCCCCAUUUUACUUUACUGCAAUUUAUUUUUAUUCCGCUUUCAGUUCAUCUCAUUUUUUGGUUUAUCUCAUUGUUUCAGUUUAUUUUAUUGGUUUUGUUGAGAAAAAUAAAUAAGUAAUCAAUUAUCUGUGGAUUCGAUCCUUCACCACUAUCUGCAGUUGUAAAUUAUUGAUAACCAAGAAGGUUAUUUUUGACCGGCUUCGACAACCGCGAGUCAAAAAUUGGCGCCGUUGUCCCCGUUAAUCUAACUUAUUUGUUUUUCUUUCAGGACAAAAAAAAAAAAGGGGGAGCACUCCAUCGCAGAUCUGAAUCAUGGAUGAGGUAAGUAGACCUGAUCUCUCUUUUCUGACAUCUUUUAUGAAAGAUUUGGCCAUAGAACUAGUUCAACAGGUUCAAGCACCCCAACCACCCAAGCCAUGUAUGAUCUGUGGAUAUGUGGGACACCUAACUUCCCGAUGUCCUACACUUUAUGAGGAUGACCAACCAAUGCAUACAUUUGGAGGAUUCAAUGACCAACCAGUUCAUGCAUAUGGAGGAUACUUUGAACAGCCAAGACAUGAUCCCGACCAUGACACAUACAAUCCAUAUUGGGGAGGCCAACUGAACUAUGGCUACGCUGAGGCUAAUGACUACCAGGACUAUCAAGGAUACCAAGCCCAACCAGCACCUCCAAGUUCAGACCCCGCCAUUAGUGAGUUGGCAAAGACUUUGCAAAUGAUGCAACAGCAGAUGGAUCAAAUGGCCACCUCAUUAAAUGCGAUCAUGUUAAGAAGAGAGGAAUAGCUUCAAGAUGUAUGGGAUGAUGAUGAAAGUUGGCGAGUACAAGAACAAGCUGCUGAAGAGGCACAACCAGAAUACUGUUUGUCCAAACAAACUAGUCAAACAGAACCUGUUGUUGAUUUAGAUAUCAUUGAUUAUUUGAGCAAAGAUAUUUUUUAUACAAAUCAAGAUGAUAUACUAAAUAAUGAUUCUUGCAGGGAAGAAAGCCAAAAAGAGUCAGAACUGAAAGAAACUAACUGUUACAUCUAACAGGUGGACUGCGAACACGCACAGAAUAAAGGAGAGCCAAUCACACCUCUUCAGAUCAAUCUUGCGCAAGAAGGAGUACCUGAAAUCCUCUCAGGCGCGUCUUUUUAGCUUCCAACACAAAUCAGUCUUCCACCUCAGUUAGGUCCUAUGCAGAAGGAGGAAACUGAAACUCCUUUCAUCCUUCCAAUGCAAACAGUCCAUGCCCAGGAGGAACAAAUGGUAGUCCAAUGGCCCAAACCAAAAGAGCAUGCAGAUCAAUGCCUGCCCAAACCACCAAAUAAGGUAGAGUUUGUUUUGCCUGAAUUCAGUACUAAAUUGCAGCUAGCCAUAGAGAAACAUGAAUUGGAGUUCAAAGUUCUUCUCAAUCAUCUCAUAAAUGCAAACAUAAGGGCUAGAGGCACACCUCAUCUGAAAGAGGAGAAGCUAAUCAUGUUACUUCAUGAGUACAUGGAAAAAGUAGGAUGGGCUAUGACAAAAUCAAAAGGAGUGCUACACUUUCUACUCAAUGCAGUUGGGACUCUUUUCCCUUCCCCAAUUACUUGAGCCUUGAUCAAGUGGAUCACACCAUGCACACCACACCCAGGGGAGUACUCAGUUUCCUUUGUUCUUUUAUGUUUCUUAUACAUUGAGGACAAUGCAUGAUUUAAGUGUGGGGGUGCAUAUUUCUGAAUUUUUACUUUUUGAGUUUAUUUUUGCUUUGAUUUUUAGUUUGCUUGCAUUAGUUGAAAUUUUUUCAUUUUUGCUUUGAAUAACACACACAAAUAGCCACAGUUUUUUUUAUUAUUUAUUUUUGUUUCCGUUUUUUUUUUAGAUGCUUUACUCAUCAUAUAAACUAUGUUGGAUGAGUUUUUCUUUCCAUGACCCCAUUGAUGUUAUGACUCUUUAAACCUAUGUUGAAUCAAUUGCAGUGAGUUAUAUUCAUGUUUGAGAAUUGCCUUUUGAAUUGAAUCUUUGAGCUUGCUAAUGGUGAAAAAUAUAUUGAUGACCCUCAAUUGAUGAGAAAAAAUUAAAAGUUGUGUGAAUGAACUUAAUGUGACUUGAUUUAGCAAUUGGUGUUAAUUUGCCCAAAUCAUUGAGAGAAAAAAAUUCAGCAAAGGCAAAGACCUCAAAAGCACAAAUUAAAAAUUGUUCCAAUGGUCAAAAGACUAUGAACAGAGCUAGUAGCCACUUGGACAGGUGACCAACUGAAAAAUAUAAACCUUCAAUCAAAAAUAGGUUGGUGACCUUUCCAAGGUCUAAAGUGCAAAAGCCUGAAUAAAGUACUUCAAGGAAAGGGAAAGUCACACCGAAAGCUAGAAAAAGUCUUAACAAAUAAUGUGCAUGUAUGGUCUCUCUUGAGGAAAACAGAUCCUAGCCAUGGUGAGUAAAAGGAAACAAGGAAAGAAGGUGAGUAAUCUUCAUGCAUAUAUUCUUCACUGCAAUGAUUCAAAAUAGGGGUCUUGAGUAAGAGGUUAAGUGGAAACAAGGAUCUAGAGAAAGAAAGCUUAUUUGACUAUGUUUAUUUGCUUGAGGACAAGCAAAAUGCUAAGUGUGGGGGUAUUUGAUAGAGCAUAAUUUAGUCCAUUUUCUAUGAAUAUUAUUAAUGAAUAUUUACAUGAUUUCUGUUUAAUUUAUUGCUUUUAAUAUUAUUUUACAGAAAAUAGUAUAAAAUGACAAUUUGGAGAAAAUUCCCCUAAAACUGUCUUAUUUGGAGUAAAAGAGAGCAAGUCUGUCAAGCCGGAUUCAAGUCAAAAUAUUUUGGAAAUUAAAUAUUCAAGCUCAUUCUCUCACGUGGAUCAAGUCCAUUCUUGCACAUGGGCCGGCGCAUCCUCCGCAUGGACCGUUCACGCACACGGGAAUUCACAGCCCGUGCACACCCACGCUUCACGCCAUUGGGCCCGCGUCAUCAACUCCAGCUCAUGGCCCUGACUCACGCCUCACCAUUCAAUUGCAAAUGGCCUGCACAACAAGGGCCCGCCAAAGCAAACUUGUGCCCGUGGACAAAGCACCUCAUCAACACGUGCAUAUGGGCCCGCCAUUGCAAACUCCCGCACAUCCGCGCAAUCCCGCACAAUGGGCAGCCCGUGGACCGAGCUCUUCACAUGGAUCCGCCUCAACCUGGCCAGCACUUCAUCAAUUCAUCCGCAUUUGGGCCCGCGUUCCAGCAGCUCUCUGCACGUGGCCCAUUGCCGCCACUCACGCACCGUCCACCAUGCACAUGGGAUCCGCACGAAGCUACUGCACCACAAUCAAUUCACGCGGGCCAAAGCUCUCUGCGCGUGGACCAUUCCUUCACGUGGACCACCAGCGCCACCUCGCCAUUCCUUCACGUGGACACUCGCGCACUCGAUCCACUCCCAGGCCAGCAAUCUUCCAAAAUAGUGCGCCCCUCUGCACUUAUAAAUAGAGCCUUCAGUAAAUUAAAUACACAAUUCAGAAGGGAAUUUGGCAGUUCCACAGCCCGGCGCAAGGCUUCUCCUUCGGUUUCUUUUCUUUCUUUUUCCUUUUUUUUAUUUUAAUUUUUUAUUUUAUUUUUCUGUUUUUAAUUCAGCCAAUGAGUGGCUGAUUUCUUUCAUCUAGUUAAAUAUUGAUUAAAGUUUUAGUUGUUUAAUGAGUUGUGAGACUUGAUCAAAUAUUGUUUAAUUUUGGGAAUUCAAUAUUCAUGCAAUUUUAUAUUUAAUUCUCAUAUUAUUUUAUUAUUGAAAUCUACGUUGAUUUUUUAUUACAAAAUAAUUAUUUAUUAGUUUGAAUAAUUUAAGUCCGUAAUUGCUUGAGUUAUUCUUACAUUAGAACACUUGGGAUAAAACCCAAGGAAAUUGUUUGAUCUAGCGUUAUCUCCAUACGUUUGGGUAGCUAGAAUUGGAUCUCUUUAUUUCUUAAUGCAAUUGACAAUUGUUUUGAUACCUAAGGC
rnacentral:lncRNA from 1 species